rnacentral:rRNA from 1 species
UACGUAGGGGGCAAGCGUUUGUCCGGAAUCAUUGGGCGUAAAGAGCGCGUAGGCGGCCCGAUAAGUCCGCUGUGAAAGUCAAGGGCUCAACCCUUGAAUGCCGGUGGAUACUGCAGGACUAGAGUCCGGAAGAGGCGAGUGGAAUUCCUGGUGUAGCGGUGAAAUGCGUAGAUAUCUGGAGGAACACCGGUGGCGAAGGCGGCAUCCUGGACCGGCAUUGACGCUGAGGCGCGAAAGCCAGGGGAGCAAACGGG